rnacentral:lncRNA from 1 species
GAACAGAUGCCGAACGAACAGCAACUCCCCUGUCCGCCCAAGGCUCAAACGAUGAGAUCAUGUACACAAGUUCCCAGGAAAUACACUUGAUUACAUACAUGAUCAAACAACGAUAACGAAGCACAAACAGUGCUUAUCAAUCAAGAGCAAGCAACACGAGUAAAGCAUACAAGUGGUCCAAAGAGAGAUACUUAACUACUGAAUUCAUUAACUUUGAUACAAUUAUUUCAUCUUUUACAUUCUUCCAAACAUAUGUACAAUCACUCUCAAAACCUCACCCUAUACAUCAUCUACUCUCAAACAUAAGUACAGGGUAGAGCUAAUGCAAAGAGGAAGUAAAGCUUUGUACUAAUACCACUAGGGCGCUAUGCCCUUGCCACGAUCCUUGCGCUCGCCGGGGACACUCGAACUCGGACCUGUAGAGAGUGGGGUGAGAACUAUCUUCCAUAGUUCCCAGUGGGUUCGGCCGCCGACUCCGCCGAUCUCCCCACCAGGUCUAAGCAGGCAUAGAGAGACAAUAGACAUAUAGAUAGACAUUUGUAAUUGAAAGCAUUGGCAGUAUUUAAGCAAAUAUAUAUACAAACAUCUAACUAUGCAUCAAUCUAUAAUAAUGCAUGCAUGCACAUCAUAGUGAAACUUGUAGCUAUCAUACUACUAUGCAGAAAAACCAUGGGACUCAUCAGGUUACCCAAUCUCUCGGCGAACUCGAGGCUCGCUCACAAUCUCACGUAUGUAAGUCUCAUAGGGGAGGAGACUAACUGUUCAACUACCCUCGAGACCGCCUGUGGAUAGCUACAAUGGUCCAAGGGCAGCUACACUGGCCC